UACGUAGGGCGCAAGCGUUGUCCGGAAUUAUUGGGCGUAAAGAGCUCGUAGGCGGUUUGUCGCGUCUGCUGUGAAAACCUAAGGCUCAACCUUGGGCUUGCAGUGGGUACGGGCAGACUAGAGUGCGGUAGGGGUGACUGGAAUUCCUGGUGUAGCGGUGGAAUGCGCAGAUAUCAGGAGGAACACCGAUGGCGAAGGCAGGUCACUGGGCCGCAACUGACGCUGGAGGAGCGAAAAGCAUGGGGAGCGAACAGG
rnacentral:rRNA from 1 species